GACGAACGCUGGCGGCGUGCUUAACACAUGCAAGUCGAACGGAAAGGCCCUGCUUUUGUGGGGGGCUCGAGUGGCGAACGGGUGAGUAACACGUGAGUAACCUGCCCUUGACUUUGGGAUAACUUCAGGAAACUGGGGCUAAUACCGGAUAGGAGCUCCUGCUGCAUGGUGGGGGUGGGAAAGUUUCGGCGGUUGGGGAUGGACUCGGGGCUUAUCAGCUUGUUGGUGGGGUAGUGGCUUACCAAGGCUUUGACGGGUAGCCGGCCUGAGAGGGUGACCGGCCACAUUGGGACUGAGAUACGGCCCAGACUCCUACGGGAGGCAGCAGUGGGGAAUAUUGCACAAUGGGCGGAAGCCUGAUGCAGCAACGCCGCGUGCGGGAUGACGGCCUUCGGGUUGUAAACCGCUUUCGCCUGUGACGAAGCGUGAGUGACGGUAAUGGGUAAAGAAGCACCGGCUAACUACGUG
rnacentral:rRNA from 1 species